CUGUUCGAGCGUCAUUACAACCCUCAAGCUUUGCUUGGUAUUGGGCACCACCAUUCUUGGUGUGCCUCAAAGUCAUUGGCGGUGCCACCUGGCUUCUAGCGUAGUAAUACUUCUCGCUAUGGAGUUUAGGCAAGUGUUUGCCACCAACCCCUAAUUUCAAGAUUGACCUCGGAUCAGGUAGGGAUACCCGCUGAACUUAA
rnacentral:misc_RNA from 1 species